rnacentral:rRNA from 1 species
GACGAACGCUGGCGGCGUGCCUAAUACAUGCAAGUAGAACGCUGAAGGAGGAGCUUGCCUCUCUGGAUGAGUUGCGAACGGGUGAGUAACGCGUAGGUAACCUGCCUGGUAGCGGGGGAUAACUAUUGGAAACGAUAGCUAAUACCGCAUAAUAGUAGAUGUUGCAUGACAUUUGCUUAAAAGGUGCAAUUGCAUCACUACCAGAUGGACCUGCGUUGUAUUAGCUAGUUGGUGAGGUAACGGCUCACCAAGGCAACGAUACAUAGCCGACCUGAGAGGGUGAUCGGCCACACUGGGACUGAGACACGGCCCAGACUCCUACGGGAGGCAGCAGUAGGGAAUCUUCGGCAAUGGACGGAAGUCUGACCGAGCAACGCCGCGUGAGUGAAGAAGGUUUUCGGAUCGUAAAGCUCUGUUGUAAGAGAAGAACGAGUGUGAGAGUGGAAAGUUCACACUGUGACGGUAUCUUACCAGAAAGGGACGGCUAACUACGUG